AGUAAUGUGUGGGUACCUACCCUAGGGUUCGGGAUAGCCAUCAGAGAUGGUGGGUAAUACCGGAUGAUGUCGUGAGACCAAAGAUUUAUCGCCCCGGGAGGGGCCCACAUGGUAUUAGCUAGUUGGUGAGGUAACGGCUCACCAAGGCGAAAAUGUCUAGCGGGUGUGAGAGCACGACCCGCGCCACUCGCACUGAAACACUGGCGAGACACCCACGGGUGGCUGCAGAA
rnacentral:rRNA from 1 species